ACGCAUCUGCCUGACAGACCUGGAGCAGUUAAUGUCAGCUUCUAAGAUGCAAGAAGAGGGUUUCCUUGAGCUUUCUGUCUGCCUGCUUGUGGCAGCCAAGACUGAAUGGGGGAAUACAGGA